rnacentral:rRNA from 1 species
AUUGAACGCUGGCGGCAGGCUUAACACAUGCAAGUCGAGCGGUAGCACAGGGGAGCUUGCUCCCUGGGUGACGAGCGGCGGCCGGGUGAGUAAUGUCUGGGAAACUGCCUGAUGGAGGGGGAUAACUACUGGAAACGGUAGCUAAUACCGCAUAACGUCGCAAGACCAAAGAGGGGGACCUUCGGGCCUCUUGCCAUCAGAUGUGCCCAGAUGGGAUUAGCUAGUAGGUGGGGUAAUGGCUCACCUAGGCGACGAUCCCUAGCUGGUCUGAGAGGAUGACCAGCCACACUGGAACUGAGACACGGUCCAGACUCCUACGGGAGGCAGCAGUGGGGAAUAUUGCACAAUGGGCGCAAGCCUGAUGCAGCCAUGCCGCGUGUGUGAAGAAGGCCUUCGGGUUGUAAAGCACUUUCAGCGAGGAGGAAGGUGGUGAGCUUAAUACGUUCAUCAAUUGACGUUACUCGCAGAAGAAGCACCGGCUAACUCCGUG